rnacentral:lncRNA from 1 species
GCUGCUGACGCACUGACUGAUGCCGUUAAGGUUACAAUUCUGUUCAUUCUGUUUACAAGCAAAUUGCGAGCUUGGUGUUGUAUUUGUUACAAUUGUUCCAAUAGUUUUGGAAAAUCUACAUUGUUUAAAUAUUUUUUUAGCCAAUUUUUUUUUUUCAACGAGUUGCGUUUUUUUACGCGUUUCGUUCGUUUUGUCAUACCGACGUGCAUUGUGCCCGGCCGUACUUCGGGAUACUCUUCGAAUCCGGAAAAAGUGCAUUUUUUUACAAUACCGAAAGAUCCCACGAGUAAAAAGUUGUGGAAAGAUGCAGUGCAUCGAGCCAAUAGCUCUGUAAAAGCAGGAAGAGCGGUGUGUGAAAAACACUUUCUGAAGGACGAAAUUCUUUGACAGCGUCAAUUGCUCGGUCCUAGUGGACAGGUAGUUGGAAUAUUUACAAUUCACAAUUUUAGGGACAAUUCAAAGUACCUCGAUUAAGAAAAGGAUGUGUGCAAUCGCAGUUUUCAUGGACGAUAUCAGAGAAUGUGAUCGAUGAGUCUAUAAUAUGUUUCCCUCUCAAUUUUCUUCGCUGGGAUCUCUAGAGCAGACUGAGACUUGAACGAUGAAUAUCGAAGAGAAUAUUAUUUCUUCGUCUGAAGCCGAUCUUAUUGAAGAUAGCAGCUGACGACCGUGAUGGCAGCACAACACAGAUCGGCAAUUCAUCACAGAACUUUCAACUUUAUUUUGCUAUGGUUUAUUUUUAAAUAAUCCCAGAAUAAAAAAAUACACUUUCCAUGUAAAAAAGUCUGAACUUUUCGAAAAAAAUAUUUUAAAAAAUAUAAAAAAUGAUACAUUGGUAGAAAAAGCGUUUUUUAGAUUUUGACCUCAUUUUUCAAGGUUUUCCCGACACUGGAGGAAAUUGAAAAUAUUUUUUUUCAGAAAGCUGAGACUUUUUUUACACAGAAACCAUAAUUUCAUUCAUGUUUAGAAAUUUUACAAGGGCUGAUAUGUUUAGUAUCUAAAGUCAAGAAUUGCAAAUCUUGCAAUUUUCGAUCUACUGUAUCUUCGAAAGGGUUCGACGAAAAAAUUCGAAAAAACUCAUGAAAGCUCUCUUUGUUAUGUACUUUUCAAUCAAAUUUUUUGUUAUGCAGAGUUCAGACCCCCCGGCACAACUUGUAUCAAUAAUUGGUGGAAUGAACCAUAUACAUGAAUGCUUGUGUAUCAUCAAACCCGUCCGCUAAAAUUUUAUCCUUUCUAUUUCAUGAGCCCCAACCGCGGUCGCCCCAACUGACAAUGCCUAACUUCAGUGCGAGAAUCUUGCUGUAAACCGAAAGUCACUAGAUAAAGUCUAGCUACUCCUGUCUAACCAUGUAUCACUAACUAACAAAUUAGACUUACUUAGAAGUCGCGAGAUUCGCUUAUAGAAUCUCAACAUCAUCACAAUUAUAAUUUAACUCGUUUGAAAGUAUUAUUAGCAUUAAUUACAGUUAACGGAAAACCCUUAGAAGAGAUUUUCCCGAGGAAGCAUAAACUAACGCCGUAUUACAGGCAACCCCUGCCACACGGAGUAGUUCUGUCAGUAAAGAAACCGUAGACGUAAUCAGCAUCUCUAACC